rnacentral:rRNA from 1 species
UACGUAGGGCGCAAGCGUUGUCCGGAAUUAUUGGGCGUAAAGAGCUCGUAGGCGGUUUGGCGCGUCGGAUGUGAAAGCCCGGGGCUUAACCCCGGGUCUGCAUUCGAUACGGGCAGACUGGAGUGUGGUAGGGGAGAUCGGAAUUCCUGGUGUAGCGGUGAAAUGCGCAGAUAUCAGGAGGAACACCGGUGGCGAAGGCGGAUCUCUGGGCCAUUACUGACGCUGAGGAGCGAAAGCGUGGGGAGCGAACAGG